GGGGGGGGGGGGUCCUUCCUGUCCAUCUUCCCAGCAGCGUUCCAUUCUUCUGAACUCCUCCCAGAACGAGCCAUUAAGCUCUGCUUACAGUAGCCAGAGCUUCCUCGGCCUGCAUCUCCAAACUCUUCUAACUCCCUUACAUUGACCUGUUCCCCAACAUCUGCAAGACCACAUUGUCAGGUUAAUUGCGGCAGUGACUCCAUGUCUUGGUCCCACUUUUUAGUAGAGAGUCCAUCAUGUCAGGAGGGCAUGGUGGCUGGAGUAUCUCUGACCAUGGCAUCAGGUUAUAUCUCUCCACAAGGAAGCAGGGAAAAGGGGGCCUGGUGCUUAGCUUGCUUGCUUUUUUAUCUUUUCUUAGUCAAUCCAGGACCCCAGCCAAUGGGAUGGAGCCAUCUACAUUCCAGAGUUGGGUCUCUCUAAAUUAAUCCUCUCUUGAAAACCCCCUCAGUUACUCUCAGGUGAUCCUUGCUAGCAUUUGUUAACCUGAUCAAGUUGACAAUUAAAACUACCCACCACAAGGGGCCAUCUGGAAUCUACCCUUCCAGGCACAACCUUGAGAUCCUUUCAAUACUCUGAGCACCUCAGAGAACCAGGGUAGAUGAAGGUCUCCCACCACAUCAGGAUCUUAAGUCUCCAAGGCUUGGGCUGCGGUAGCAGGUGUCCCAUGUUGAUGAAUGUCCGGACUUGGAGGCAGGUAGCAGUCUUCAAGUUGAGGUAAAUCUCCACUUGCUAGUGAUCCUGUGUCUUUAGUACUGUGAUGAUGGGGUGGGAAAAGAUACCACACUCUCAUUUCUAGGAUGUGCCCCAGCAGCCUUCUCUCCUGCCAUGCUUUGCUUGGCCAGUGGUGGCAGAGUGGGCCUACGGGUUCUGUACCUUAGGCUGUGUGCAGCUGGGGCAAGAUGACUUUCCAGUCUUCGUUCACAGCUUCAUAUGACUGCAGGAAGGCAGCCGUGGACUUGGCUUUUUCCUGCACUCAUCCCAGAAGCUGGCUAACUUCCUCAGACCUCCCUCCUCUCAGGGUGCUUGUUGCUCAGGGCUGGCAUCUCAGCCCAAAGCUAACUUAAAUCUGUGUGUGUGUGUGUGUGUGUGUGUGUGUGUGUAGAUCUGAGGACAACUUUUGGGAGUCUCUGCUACCUGAGAUAAAACUUAAAUUGUCAAGUUUAUCAGCAAGACCCUUUAUAACCUGCUGAGCCAUCUUGCCAGCCCCAGUGCUGACUUUUGAAUAGGCUGCACUCAGUGGCUUUGGAGACCUCAGCUACACGUGAUCAAAUGACAGGAACAACCAGAUGGGGGACCUGUUCCUCCUGUCCAGCUAGAGUCAACUCUUACCAAGGGUCUCAUCCUUGUUAGUCUGCAAGUCUCUUAGAGACUGACCUAGAUAAACUAACAGCUUGGGGAACUGGAUUGCAAGGAAGAAGAGUGCAAAGUGCCCUUUGUCCUAUGUACACACGACUUCGAGGACGAAUCAUACCUUAUGAAGAGGCCUCAUUGUCCUGUGGGAGGAGCUUGGGAUUGAUGGUCCACUUCUCAGACCACACAGUGGAACAGGCUACAGGCCCUCCAGUAUGCAGAGUGGGAGGGAGGGGGUUUCCAUGGUGAUGGCAAAUCUCAUCACUUCCCUCACGGUUGCUGCUGGAUGCAGAAGUGGGAGCUGUCUGCCCUCGGCAGGCUGCUCAGAGAUCAGGUUGUAGCUGGCUUCUGUACCUCGACCUUUGGGUGGGAAUCGUAGUGGGGCUGGAACACUAACCAGAAGUGAAUGGCAAGGGCACCUGACUCGGGAAACAUCUUCAUUUGUCUGGAAAGAUUAAAUUGAGCACUGUUCUACAUUUCCAGGUUGAAAGCUUGGCAUGUAGCUACCUGUUCUCAACCUGUGGGUGUCGACCCCUUUGAAGGUCAAACAACCCUUUCACAGGGGUCACAUUUCAGAUGUCUACAGUACGAUUCAUAACAGUGGCUAAAUUACUGUUAUGAAGUAGCAAUGAAAAUAAUUUACGGUUUGGGGUCACCACAACAUGAGAACCUGCAUUAAAGGGUCACAGCCUUGGGAGGAUGAAGAGCCACUGAGCUAGAGCAAUACUUACAGCAGCCGUUCCAGCCCCACUUUGUUAUUGAGGCAGAAGGAAACGGGUGUCAUGCGGGACAGGACAGUUGGAUAGAGAAAUGACAGUAGAAAGAGCCAGGGAACUGGAAGCCAAGAAAACAGAGAUAAGGAGAGAUGGUUCUUUAGUUAGGAACAAGUAACUGAGUGGGAUGUGGUUCCCAGAACCACACCAGGCAGUUUACAGCUCUUCCGGCCUCUGAGCAUCUGCACCAUGCGCACAAAACGGCCUCCCCAACUCACAUAAUUGAAAAUAAAUCUUAACCAAGCAGACACAAGAUCACAUAAGGUGGGCAUGCAAGCCUGGGGCUGUUGAACUUUGUGGGAUGCAUCUCCAAAGUUUAACAAUGACCCUGAUGGAUGCUGUGCGCUCUGGCUCUUGUAGAGGAGUCUGCCAGGCUGGGUAGCUGAAACCUUGGAGAUCUAUUCUCACAGUUCUGGAGGUUAGAGACUUGAGACUCAGAUGUGGUUCCUUUCAGGCCUCUUUAAUUGACUUGCUGUUAGAGGAACUGUGCCAGAGCAGACCAAUGUGUUCAUGGGAGGAAGAGAAAAAACGGUACUGCGAAAUGACCUGAAGUUUCAAGCCACGUGGAGGGAGUGUGGCUGGUACCCCAGUGAGGGCAAGAUGAAGAUGAGAAGAGAAGAUGAAGAGAAGAUGAAGAUGAAGAGAGAAGACGGCAGAACAUAUUUCUCCACUGAUGCUCAUGGAGAUGUGAAUUUUGGAGCCUGGUGGCAUUUUCCAGACAGGACUUUAAGUGUGAGGUCACAGCUGACUGAAUGCAGAAGCAGCUCCAAGAUUCCAGCUGUCAUCUAUGAUCCAGACGUUAACGAGCCAUGCAAGCGUGCGAAGCAACGCCAGCCUUCUCACUUGUUUUCCUUCCUUUGAGGGAAAGGUUGUUUUUCAUAGAAUAUUUUGUGUUAACGUUAACAGGCUUAUUAUAGUCAUGUUUAAGUCAACCAGUAAAUAUUUAAAAGGUUUCCUCAGAUUUAUUUUUUUAUCACUAUACAUAUGGACAGAAUCUGUACAAAUACAACCAUUUGUAGUCUUUAGUAAUCUUUUGUAAUAUUUGUGUCUAUGUAUGUU